GGCGUGAAAAAAGGUGAUUCUUCGAACUCAUAACCCGAAGGUCGCAGGUUCGAGUCCUGCUCCCGCUA
rnacentral:tRNA from 1 species